AUGGGAGGGAGGUGUGGUCAUAUCUGAGAUGGGAGGGAGGUGUGGUCAUAUCUGAGAUGGGAGGGAGGUGUGGUCAUAUCUGAGAUGGGAGGGAGGUGUGGUCAUAUCUGAGAUGGGAGGGAGGUGUGGUCAUAUCUGAGAUGGGAGGGAGGUGUGGUCAUAUCUGAGAUGGGAGGGAGGUGUGGUCAUAUCUGAGAUGGGAGGGAGGUGUGGUCAUAUCUGAGAUGGGAGGGAGGUGUGGUCAUAUCUGAGAUGGGAGGGAGGUGUGGUCAUAUCUGAGAUGGGAGGGAGGUGUGGUCAUAUCUGAGAUGGGAGGGAGGUGUGGUCAUAUCUGAGAUGGGAGGGAGGUGUGGUCAUAUCUGAGAUGGGAGGGAGGUGUGGUCAUAUCUGAGAUGGGAGGGAGGUGUGGUCAUAUCUGAGAUGGGAGGGAGGUGUGGUCAUAUCUGAGAUGGGAGGGAGGUGUGGUCAUAUCUGAGAUGGGAGGGAGGUGUGGUCAUAUCUGAGAUGGG